CAGUAGCCGCGGUAAUACAGAGGGUGCGAGCGUUAAUCGGAUUUACUGGGCGUAAAGCGUGCGUAGGCGGCUUCUUAAGUCGGAUGUGAAAUCCCUGAGCUUAACUUAGGAAUUGCAUUCGAUACUGGGAAGCUAGAGUAUGGGAGAGGAUGGUAGAAUUCCAGGUGUAGCGGUGAAAUGCGUAGAGAUCUGGAGGAAUACCGAUGGCGAAGGCAGCCAUCUGGCCUAAUACUGACGCUGAGGUGCGAAAGCGUGGGGAGCAAACAGGAUUAGAUACCCCGGUAGUCCCUGUCUCUUAUAC
rnacentral:rRNA from 1 species